rnacentral:rRNA from 1 species
GACGAACGCUGGCGGCGCGCUUAACACAUGCAAGUCGAACGGAAAGGCCUGCUUUCCCUUGUGGAUUGCGGGUACUCGAGUGGCGAACGGGUGAGUAACACGUGAGUGAUCUGCCCCCAACUUGGGUAUAAGCCUGGGAAACUGGGUCUAAUUCCCGAUAGGACUGCAGGGUGGUGCCUGUGGUGGAAAACGAUUUUCUAGUGGUUGGGGAUGAGCUCGCGGCCUAUCAGCUUGUUGGUGGGGUAAUGGCCUACCAAGGCGGCGACGGGUAGCCGGCCUGAGAGGGUGGACGGCCACAUUGAGACUGGGAUACGGCCCAGACGCCUACGGGAGGCAGCAGUGGUGAAUAUUGCACAAUGAGCGGAAGCCUGAAGCAGCGACGCCGCGUGGGGGAUGACGGCCUUCGGGUUGUAAACUCCUUUCGACCGCGAGGAAGCCACCUGGUUGGAAGGGUGGUGACGGUAGUGGUAGAAGAAGCACCGGCUAACUACGUG